AAGAAUGCCGGCUCAUUGUGCGGCAUACAGUUCCACACUACAUCGGACGAUCAAGACAAGGAAACUUGGAAUAACUUUCCACAGGGUGGGGAAAAUGUUGCUGUGGCCCAUUACAUGGUGAGCCAGAGAGGAACAGGGCGACAUUCCCACAUCACUGGACGCAGUGUACAUAAUCAAAGAAUUAAAAGAUUAUGGCGAGAUGUGUAUGGAAAUGUCCUUGACUUGUUCCACACACUAUUUCUCAAUUUGGAAGUGGAAGGGUUUCUAAACCCUGAAAAUGAACUGGAGUUAUUCGUUCUCCACUGGACCUACGUCCCACAGCUGCAGCAGCAUCUUCAGGCAUUCAAGGAAGCCUGGACUCACCAUAGUUUGAGGACAGAGAGGUUGCUGCUGAUUAUGGGAUAGACUGGACAGGACCUCACACCCCAUACCCAGAAGGCGUCACUGUACCUGAUGCACAACUACCCCAACAGCUUACACAGGCUGAAGUUACAUCAUUGCCUGAUCCGGCCGUCCCUUUUUCUGCUGCACUACGGGCAUACAUGGAUACAGUGUAUAUUCUUAAGGACAUUUUUCAACAAACCUAGACAUAUCACAACUCACCUUAACAGAAUCAGAAUGAAACGAACAAGAUUCAAAAGAAUGCUGCAAAUUUUUGGUGCAUAAUUUUAUGACCAGUUGUGAAUUUCAAAUAAAUGCCUUUGAAAACAACAAUGUACAAAGACACAGCAAAGGGAUAUAAAACUGCUUUUAUUGCAUGCUGAAUAGUUUGACAGUUUUUAAAAGCAUCAAAACAAUGUGCCAAUAAAAAGGUUUUUUAAUAGAACUGACAAUUAUUUUCUUGAACUUCCAAACAUUUAUAUUACAACUGUUCUCCAAAGACAGUCUUCCACAAGUGUGGAAACAUUUUGUUGUCGCAGAAAUGCACAAACCUGAACCAUCAUUUUUGAAUCUUUCACAUAAAAAUAAGCUAUUUCAUUAAUUCACUCUCUCAACUCUCACCUUUAAACUGUCUUCUUACAACAACUCACAGGCCGCCACAUUUCUGUUACAUGUUAAAUGUCACACACAACAAUUUGAGCCUGACAGCAGCAAAAACAAGAACUGUUGUGAACCUUCUUCUGAAGCAUGUAUUAGCCUCACAAGCUUACAUCACAUCAGAACAAUUGUCAAAACAACUACACAUAUCUGUUUUAACAUUUUAUGUGUUUUGGUAGCAUUAUUUGGACUCUCACACAACAUACGAGAUGGUAAGCCAUACUGAGCAACAGCUGACCUGAACAGUGGUGGAGUUGUUUGUAGCUGCUCCUAUGUAAACUAUGAGCCUGCUAAAUCCAUCCACUCCUGCAUGGAUCACGAUUCGCCAUCUAUAAAAGUCACAGUGAAAAUAUGAAUAGAAAUUUAUAAUUAUAGGUAGUUACAGCAAUGCUACAGUAAUAAGGAACAAGGACAAAUUAUCUCAAUAAAUGCAACGUAAAGACAACCACAAUUACAAUAAACAACAGAAUUAUUAUUAAUAAUAAUUAUUAUUUAUUUAUCUCUCUCUCUAGGCUGUUAUAUACUUGCAGCAAACCCCUCUCUCCUCAGAGCUGCUUCCACUUCUUCCUCAGCCCAUAGUCUUUGGGAA